CACACACUUACACCCACCACUUUUCAAAUUUCAAACAUUUUCCUUGAAGAUCAAAGUCAUUUCAAGCUAGUUUCAAGGUGUUUUGAAGAAUCAAGGGUGAUUUCAAGGUGAUUCCAAGAAGGUUCAAGAUCCAUAUCAUCAAACUUUGUCAAAAACCCACCAAAAUCUUGAAGUGGAACUUUGGAAGUUUAUGUGCCCAAGUGUAGAGGAUCGGGCCAUGACAUUUCUGGAGGCCCAUGAUCGAGCUUCCAAGGGUGAUUUACGAAAACGAGCAUAACUUUGGCUACGGGUCUCCGUUUUAGGUGUUCAACUAGUCAAAUCGAAGGUUGAAACGAGGAGCACAUCAUGGAAAGGAC
rnacentral:lncRNA from 1 species